rnacentral:rRNA from 1 species
GACGAACGCUGGCGGCGUGCUUAACACAUGCAAGUUGAGCGGAGCGGCGAAGGGGUGAGUAACGCGUAAGUAACUGACCCCCUCUCUGGGAUAAGAGUUGGAAACGGCUGCUAAUACCGGAUAGUGGGGGAUGACUGGCGUCCUAUCAGCUUGUUGUGUGGGUAGUGGCCGACCAAGGCGACGACGGGUAGCCGGCCUGAGAGGGCGACCGGCACCAGUGGGCUGCGAUACGGCCCGAACUCGUACGUGAGGCAGCAGUGGGGAAUAUUGCACAAUGGGGGAAACUCUGAUGCAGCAACGUCGCGUGCGGGAUGACGUCCUUCGGGUUGUAAACCGCUUUCAGCAAUGACGCGGUAGUGGCAGAAGAAGCACCGGCUAACUCCGUGCCAGCAGCCGCGGUAAUAC